CUAAAAUAUACCAAAAUGUAUAACCAUUUAAAAAAUAAUUAUAUUUUUUUUUAUCUAGAUAAAAAGUAUUUAUCUUUAUCUUUAUAUAGAUAGAUAUGAGUUAAGAUAUCUUGUGUAUCUAUAUAGAUACAUUUGAGUUGCAUUAUCUUCAUCUUUAUCUAGAUAAAUGAGUACUUAUCUAAUCCGAACACUGGUCAUCACCAUCAGCUUCAUACCGGUUUUGGACCACCAUAUUCGACAUCCAACGGUUUUGUGAGUUGGCUAUAAAUCUGAGACGUCCAAAGUUGGCCAAUGAUGCCAUUCCAUGCAUUUUCCAUGCAUUUUCAAAAUCUGACACGUCUGACUAGCAGCGCUCGGCAGUUAAUGGAACUACGCCGUAACGAGUUCUGACCGACGAUCCAGCCCACGUCGCUUAACCUGUUCUUUAUAAUCGUGGAUCUCAAGCAUAUAUAUCACUAGACCUUAAGCAUGACUUAGUUUUAACAGUGAAUAUAAAACAUUCGUGUAAUACCUAUAUAAAAUGUACUAAUCGUUUUUGUGAGUUUUGUGAGUUGGCUGUCAGUCACAAUUAUUAUUUUACUUGUAGUAUCAUAUUUCGUCAUUACUUUGGCUGUAAGCCAUACAUAUCUUUAUUGUUCUUAUUUUAUUAUUAUUUACAGCUACACAAUAUGUACAUCUCCCUACUGGUCGUGACCACCACUAAUAAUUGUACCAUAUAUUUUUGUUUGUAGGUAUGUAAUAUAAUUAAUACGAAUAGUUCACAAUA